rnacentral:rRNA from 1 species
AGUGAACGCUGGCGGUAGGCCUAACACAUGCAAGUCGAACGGCAGCACAGUAAGAGCUUGCUCUUACGGGUGGCGAGUGGCGGACGGGUGAGGAAUACAUCGGAAUCUACUUUUUCGUGGGGGAUAACGUAGGGAAACUUACGCUAAUACCGCAUACGAUCUACGGGUGAAAGCAGGGGAUCUUCGGACCUUGCGCGAUUGAAUGAGCCGAUGUCGGAUUAGCUAGUUGGCGGGGUAAAGGCCCACCAAGGCGACGAUCCGUAGCUGGUCUGAGAGGAUGAUCGGCCACACUGGAACUGAGACACGGUCCAGACUCCUACGGGAGGCAGCAGUGGGGAAUAUUGGACAAUGGGCGCAAGCCUGAUCCAGCCAUGCCGCGUGGGUGAAGAAGGCCUUCGGGUUGUAAAGCCCUUUUGUUGGGAAAGAAAAGCAGCAGGUUAAUACCCCGCUGUUCUGACGGUACCCAAAGAAUAAGCACCGGCUAACUUCGUG